rnacentral:rRNA from 1 species
AUUGAACGCUGGCGGCAGGCCUAACACAUGCAAGUCGAACGAGUGGCGGAAGGGUGAGUAAUGUCUGGGACACUGCCUGAUGGAGGGGGAUAACUACUGGAACCGGUAGCUAUUACCGCAUACAAUCAGAGGUGCCCAGAUGGGAUUAGCUGGUUGGUGGGGUAACGGCUCACCAAGGCGACGAUCCCUAGCUGGUCUGCGCGGAUGACCGGCCACACGGGAGCGGAGACCCGGUCGAUGCUCUUCCGUGUGGCAGCAGUGGGGAAUCUUGCACAAUGGGCGCAAGCCGGAUGCAGCCAUGCCGCGUGUAUGUAGACGGCCUUCGGGUUGUAAAGUAGUUUCAGCGGGGAGGCGUUACCCGCAGAAGAAGCACCGGCUAACUCCGUGCCAGCAGCCGCGGUAAUUC